rnacentral:rRNA from 1 species
GUGUCAGCAGCCGCGGUAAUACGGAGGGUGCAAGCGUUAUCCGGAUUCACUGGGUUUAAAGGGUGCGUAGGUGGAUUAGUAAGUCAGUGGUGAAAUCUCUGGGCUUAACUCAGAAACUGCCAUUGAUACUAUUAGUCUUGAAUACCGUGGAGGUCAGCGGAAUAUGUCAUGUAGCGGUGAAAUGCUUAGAUAUGACAUAGAACACCAAUUGCGAAGGCAGCUGGCUACACGAAUAUUGACACUGAGGCACGAAAGCGUGGGGAUCAAACAGGAUUAGAAACCCCGGUAGUCC